AUUGAACGCUGGCGGCAGGCCUAACACAUGCAAGUCGAACGAGGGGCGGACGGGUGAGUAAUGUCUGGGCAACUGCCUGAUGGAGGGGGAUAACUACUGGAAACGGUAGCUAAUACCGCAUACCAUCGGAUGUGCCCAGAUGGGAUUAGCUAGUAGGUGGGGUAACGGCUCACCUAGGCGACGAUCCCUAGCUGGUCUGAGAGGAUGAUCAGCCACACUGGAACUGAGACACGGGCCAGACUCCUACGGGAGGCAGCAGUGGGGAAUAUUGCACAAUGGGCGCAAGCCUGAUACAGCCAUGCCGCGUGUAUGAAGAAGGCCUUCGGGUUGUAAAGCACUGUCAGCGGGGAGGCGUUACCCGCAGAAGAAGCACCGGCUAACGCCGUGCCAGCAGCCGCGGUAAUUC
rnacentral:rRNA from 1 species